CCUACGGGUGGCAGCAGUGAGGAAUAUUGGUCAAUGGACGAGAGUCUGAACCAGCCAAGUAGCGUGAAGGAUGACUGCCCUAUGGGUUGUAAACUUCUUUUAUAUGGGAAUAAAAUGUUCCACGUGUGGGAUUUUGUAUGUACCAUAUGAAUAAGGAUCGGCUAACUCCGUGCCAGCAGCCGCGGUAAUACGGUGGAUCCGAGCGUUAUCCGGAUUUAUUGGGUUUAAAGGGAGCGUAGGUGGAUUGUUAAGUCAGUUGUGAAAGUUUGCGGCUCAACCGUAAAAUUGCAGUUGAAACUGGCAGUCUUGAGUACAGUAGAGGUGGGCGGAAGUCGUGGUGUAGCGGUGAAAUGCUUAGAUAUCACGAAGAACUCCGAUUGCGAAGGCAGUUCACUGGACUGCAACUGACACUGAGGCUCGAAAGUGUGGGUAUCAAACAGGAUUAGAUACCCUUGUAGUC
rnacentral:rRNA from 1 species